rnacentral:rRNA from 1 species
UACGGGGGGGGCAAGCGUUGUUCGGAAUUACUGGGCGUAAAGGGCUCGUAGGUGGCCAACUAAGUCAGACGUGAAAUCCCUCGGCUUAACCGGGGAACUGCGUCUGAUACUGGAUGGCUUGAGAUUGGGAGAGGGAUGCGGAAUUCCAGGUGUAGCGGUGAAAUGCGUAGAUAUCUGGAGGAACACCGGUGGCGAAGGCGGCAUCCUGGUCUGUAACUGACGCUGAGGCGCGAAAGCGUGGGGAGCAAACAGG